rnacentral:rRNA from 1 species
AUUGAACGCUGGCGGCAGGCCUAACACAUGCAAGUCGAGCGGUAGAACAGAGCGUUCGCCUUGGUUCGACGGCGGGCGGAUGGGUGAGUCCUAUGAGUCUACCUGCUCGUGGGGGAUGGAUUCCUAAAGCAAGCGCUAGUACCUCCUGCGUAAUGAGGCAGGAAGAGAGGGGUCUUCGGACGUCCCGCUAUCAAUUGAACCUAGGUAGGAUUAGCUAGUUGGUGGGGUAAGGGCUCACCAAGGCGACGAUCCGUAGCUGGUCUGAGAGGAUGAUCAGUCACACUGGAACUGAGACACGGUCCAGACUCCUACGGGAGGCAGCAGUGGGGAAUAUUGGACAAUGGGCGAAAGCCUGAUGCAGCCAUGCCGCGUGUGUGAAGAAGGUCUUCGGAUUGUAAAGCACUUUCAGUGGGGAGGAAGGGGAUUCAGUUAAUAACCGUCUUGUUUGACGUUACCCGCAGAAGAAGCACCGGCUAACUCCGUG